rnacentral:rRNA from 1 species
AUUGAACGCUGGCGGCAGGCCUAACACAUGCAAGUCGGACGGUAGCACAGAGGAGCUUGCUCUUCGGGUGACGAGUGGCGGACGGGUGAGUAAUGUCUGGGAAACUGCCCGAUGGAGGGGGAUAACUACUGGAAACGGUAGCUAAUACCGCAUAACGUCGCAAGACCAAAGUGGGGGACCUUCGGGCCUCACACCAUCGGAUGUGCCCAGAUGGGAUUAGCUGGUAGGCGGGGUAACGGCCCACCUAGGCGACGAUCCCUAGCUGGUCUGAGAGGAUGACCAGCCACACUGGAACUGGUACACGGUCCAGACUCCUACGGGAGGCAGCAGUGGGGAAUAUUGCACAAUGGGCGCAAGCCUGAUGCAGCCAUGCCGCGUGUAUGAAGAAGGCCUUUGGGUUGUAAAGUACUUUCAGCGGGGAGGAAGGUGCUGAGGUUAAUAAGCUCAGCAAUUGACGUUACCCGCAGAAGAAGCACCGGCUAACUCCGUGCCAGCAGCCGCAGUAA